rnacentral:misc_RNA from 1 species
AAGAAUAUGGCCACUAUUGGGUGCGUCCUUGCCUCCAAACUGUUUGAUUGCUCAGAGAUACUAAAACGACAUUCUUGCUAGUUGCACUGGCCUUGAUCAGAAGCAAGAUGACAUCGCAGUCGUACCUAUAUAUUUGCUUGAUAAGAAGAAAGACAAACGGCACGACAUUUUAGGCAGCCGAGUAUUACUGCAAUCUGCGGAGGAAACGUCAGAAAUACUCUCCACCGAACGAGCAGGCGAAGACACAUCUAACUCCUACGAUUUCCACUUUCUCUUUCCCCAAUCUUCCUCUUCAUCUAGGUAUAGUUCCUCUAGUUCUAGUCCUUUUUUUUCUUGGCUUUUUACCUCUUUGCUACUUACUCAAAUUUCUUUCUGUAGUUUCGCUGAAAUCGUUGUUGUUUCAUUAUCAGAGGAUCAAUUCCAACUUAUAUCUUCAAUAUUCAACGCAAAUUUCCCAAUUUUCUUGUGUCUAAUUGUGAAAUUUCACAACUUUACUUUGCUCUCUUUGGCGUUUCUGCUUGGUUACGUGGAAAAUUGGGGGAAAAAUAAAAGAAGAAGAAUAUAAUUUCAUCAGUUUGUCCUUAGCCGAGAAAGAGAAAGUAAAAGUAGAGAGUCGUAAUGUUUGACGUUGAGGAUCCGGAUUUGAUUAGUGAUCUGCCUCAAAGCAUUAUUGAAGGCAUUCUUACCCGAUUACCCUUAAGAGAUGCUGUGAGAACGAGUAUCCUGUCCACCAAAUGGAGGUACCGAUGGGCUACUCUUACUCACCUUGUUUUCGAUGACAAAUGUGUUGCAUUGUAUAAUGAUAAAGGACUUCUUGAGAUCAACCUCAUCAAAUUUAUCACCGGAGUACUCUUUCUUCACCAGGGACCCAUUAACAAGUUCCAGCUUUCCGCUUCGUAUUUACAGUGUUGCCCUGAUAUUGAUCAGUGGAUACUUUUCCUUUCGCGGAGUGAUAUUAAAGAAUUGGUUCUUGAAUUAGGAGAAGGAGAGUGGUUUAGGGUCCCUUCAUGUCUUUUCAAUUGUAAGAUGUUAACCUGUUUGGAGUUAGCCCGUUGCGAAUUUGAUCCACUCCUGGUUUUAAGGGAUUCUUAUGCUUGAAGAGUCUCAAUCUUUAUAAAAUUUUGGUUGCUCCUGAGGCUAUUGAGAGUCUCAUUUCUGGUUGUCCUCUUCUUGAGAGUCUUUCAUUGUCAUAUUUUGACAGUUUAGUUCUAAACAUCCGUGCUCCAAAUCUAAAGUACUUGUGUUUGGAGGGUGAAUUCAAGGAUAUUUGCCUUGAAAAUACCCCACUUUUAGUUGCCAUGUCUGUUGCUAUUUAUAUCACUGAUGACGUUGCUGAACACUUUGAGCAAAGUUCAAGUUGCAAUUUUAUCAAGUUUCUUGGUGGUGUUCCUCGUCUUGAGAGGCUUAUUGGGCAUAUCUACUUCACAAAGGUAACAACAUGUUUUCAUGUUGGCUCAUGAAGUUGUUGUAGUUUUUCUUUGUGCCAAGGUUUUAACUGACGAACUACAAAGGACCUCAGUUGCAUAUAGUCAAAUUACAUGCUCAUGUAUAUCGCAUUUAAACCUUUUUCUUUUUGCAUAAUUUAAUUCUUUGUGGUUUGUAGUAUUUGAGUAUAGGUGAUUAUCCAGGAAGACUUCCAAUUACUUAUAGCUACCUGAAAACAAUCGAAUUAUAUCAAGUUAGCUUUGAAGAUAUGAAAGGGAUACUUCUUGUUCUCCGCUUGAUCGCAAACUCUCCUAAUCUGAAGGUACUUCAAAUUUCGGCAGUCACCUUGGAAAUGUUGCUAUCUUCUUGUUUUGUGAUUUUUGGUGAAGCAAAUAGCUUUCUUGUACACUGUAUCAUAUGUUUUUUUAUUAGAGAUUGAUGCAAACCCUUUUUUCAUCCUUGAUUGCCAUGUAGGGCUCCUCAAACGCUUUGGCUGCUAUAGAAGCACCUGAUUUGGAUUUUUGGAUCAAAGAGUGCCCCAAAGAUUGUACUUUUGAAAAACUUAAAAUUGUAAAGAUGACAGAAAUGUCUGGUGUGCCACAUGAGAUGGAAUUUAUCAAAUUUUUGCUUGGGAAUUCACCCGUGCUCGAGAUGAUGAGUAUUACACCUUGUGUAUAUGUAAUGGAUGGAAAACUGAAUAUGCUGAUUGAAUUGUUGAGGUUUCGUCGGGCAUCUGCUCAAGCAGAAAUUCUAUUCAUCCAAGAUUAAGAAUUGUGUAUUUCAUGUAAAGUUACUCCUGCCCUGCUGUUUUUCCUUUAUUCUUUGUGUGGAUAUAUGCUUCCAGUUGCAUUUUUUUCAUCAGAUGAUUGUGAAAUGAGAAGAACGUCAAUAAUGCUUACAAGAUUGCGGACAAAAAAAAUAAAUCAGAUCUUCU